rnacentral:antisense_RNA from 1 species
AGAUUUUGGUGACUGCGCUCUUCCGAAGCCAGUUACCUCGGUUCAAAGAGUUGGUAGCUCUAAGAACCAUGGAGAACCACCGUUGGUAGCGGUGGUUCUUUUAU